GCAGUCCUACUACUUUGUACUUUGCACAUAGUUCUAGUCUUAGGCCCUGCAUCAAAUUCAACCCAUCCAGUUGAAUCAACUCUACCCAAAAUGGGAAUUGAAGGAUUUAUAUUCUCCCUCACCUCACUUACUCUUCUUUGAAUAGCAGCUUCAAGGCACUUGAUGACUCUAUCCUUUUCCCCUUCAGUAUAUCCAAACUGCAUCCAUCUAUCCAUAUGACGUAUAUAGUAUUCCUACGACUCCAGAAUCUUAAGUUCAAUCAUUAGAAUCAAGACUCGAGGACAUUUGAGGAAUCUUUUGAACUGAAUCUCGGGUAGAGCCACAUUAAAUAUCUCACUUGCAAUUUAAGAUCCAAUGCACACCAUUCUAUAUGUAUGCAAGAAUUUGUCUGUUUGUGUGUGUAUUGGGGAAGGAUGGUAAUUAUGAUGAUAGAUCAGAAAGGAAAUGCAAUUAUAACUAAAUUAACUAUACCAUUUACUUCCCAUAAAACAUGCAUAAACUGUUUUAUAAUUUACGCAGCUCAUUUGAUUUAAAAGAGCAUAAAGACUUCUCUGCAAAACCUCACUUUUAAGCUUAUAGGUGUAAACCCCAUUACAGAUCAAAAGAAGCUCAAUAUUUUGUCUUUUUACUCUUUUUUUUUUUUUUU